rnacentral:rRNA from 1 species
AGCAGUAGCCGCGGUAAUACGGAGGGUGCAAGCGUUAAUCGGAAUUACUGGGCGUAAAGCGCACGCAGGCGGUCUGACAAGUCAGAUGUAAAAUCCCCGGGCUUAACCUGGGAACUGCAUUUGAAACUGUCAGGCUGGAGUCUUGUAGAGGGGGGUGGAAUUCCAGGUGUAGCGGUGAAAUGCGUAGAGAUCUGGAGGAAUACCGGUGGCGAAGGCGGCCCCCUGGACAAAGACUGACGCUCAGGUGCGAAAGCGUGGGGAGCAAACAGGAUUAGAUACCCCAGUAGUCCCUGUCUCUUAUAC